CAAUAGCGUAUAUUAAAGUUGUUGCAGUUAAAAAGCUCGUAGUCGAAUUUCAGGGCGGCGGGCACGGUCUGCCGAUGGGUAUGCACUGUGUCGGCCGCCUUUCCUGCUGGGGUCCGCGUCUGCACUUAACUGUGCGGGCGCGGGGAACAGCGCGUUUACUUUGAGAAAAUCAGAGUGUUUAAAGCAGGCCAAGAUUGCUCUUGCAUGGAUUAGCAUGGGAUAAUUUAAUAGGACUCUGGUGCUAUUCUGUUGGUUUCGAACACCGGAGUAAUGAUAAAAGGGGCAGUCAGGGGCACUCGUAUUCCGUCGAGAGAGGUGAAAUUCUCAGACCAAUGGAAGACGAACCACUGCGAAAGCAUUUGCCAGGGAUGUUUUCACUGAUCAAGAACGAAAGUUAGGGGAUCGAAGAUGAUCAGAU
rnacentral:rRNA from 1 species